CAGUCGCCGCGGGAACACCAGCACCUCGAGUGGUCAGGAGGUUUAUUGGGCCUAAAGCAUCCGUAGCCGGUUGCAUAAGUUUUCGGUUAAAUCUAUGCGCUUAACGUAUAGGCCGCCGAAAAUACUGUGCAGCUAGGGAGUGGGAGAGGUACACGGUACUCGAUAGGAAGGGGUAAAAUCCUUUGAUCUAUUGAUGACCACCUGUGGCGAAGGCGGUGUACCAGAACACGUUCGACGGUGAGGGAUGAAAGCUGGGGGAGCAAACCGGAUUAGAUACCCCGGUAGUCCCUGUCUCUUAUAC
rnacentral:rRNA from 1 species